GGUACCCCUCCGCACCCCCAUCCUGAUCUAGCACUUAAAGUGUAAAAUAUCCUGAAUAUUUUUGUCAGACUAACACAGUUCACCUUUUUUUUCUCACAACUGAGCCUCUAUCAAACAACAUUUUUUCUUAGAUUACUCACAGCUUUUAAUAAAUCACUUUCCACAGCACUGCACACAACCAUACUUACAUCUGAAUAGAAUCAAGUUGACCUUUGCUUCUAAUUGCUUUGAGUGUUUAUGUUGCAGUCGAGGGCUUUUUUUACACCUAUUUUGCUGUCAUUUAUUUUCUUGUCUACUUACCAGCUCUGAGAGAAACAAUUCUAAACAUUAGCUCCUUCCUAUUUCUCAUUCUAAGCUAAAUGGUUGCAUAUACAUUGGAGAGAACGCAGAACUGAUAUAAAGAGAGAAUCAAACACAGUCUACCUGACAGGACAUUUUUUUCUUUGUUCCCAAUGCCUUUUUGCUUGCAACCAAUAAGAUUCGGGCAUUUGUGCAUCUGGGCUUUCUGAUUGGAGGUUUGUUUCUUUAGCCUGAGUGGGGGAGGUAAUGGGAGAGUUGAAGAGAGCACUCUGUAUAAACACAUACAGCUACACACACAGACAAGUAAAGAGAGCUAGCAAACAGUUCUAUACUGAUUGCAGUUGAAUAUAAAAUCUUUGCAGUAAACAUGAUCCUAUCUCCAGCAAUAGAACGUAGAAACAUUCUCAGCACAUCAUCCUUGUCUGCCAGCAUACAUCUACGAUCUCUUUCCAAUGCAUCGAAAAUGAAUAUUUAUUGUCCACAAGCCAUAUUCAAUUUUUGCAGAUGUUACCAUGGCUUUUUCAAGAAAGAAAAAUAAGAAUGUUAUUGAAUACUUUUGUAUGCUAUAUUGCUGGGUAAUGUCUCCCGGCCAUUUUUUUAAUUGUAUAAUUAAAUGUAUAUCCUAAUACAAUUGUGUCUUUCUGUAAACAAUUAAGUGCAUUAUAUUUGCUCUUCUGUACACUAGGG